UAAAUUAUGAGCAAUAUGCUCGAUAUGUGAUUGGAAAUUGGAAAGAUUGUUAUGGGAAAGUGAUGAAUACAAUUGAAGUGUGAAAGAUCAAAAUUGACAAUAAAACUAUUCUGGAUAGUAGCAGUGAUGUGAAUCUAAAACUUUUCCAAAAAUAGUAGAAAUUGAAUCAGAGACUGAAUGAGAUAUCAAAUUAGAUCUUAAUGAGUUUUUUUUUCAUAUAACAAAAACAG
rnacentral:lncRNA from 1 species